AGCACCCAGGGAUCUUGUUAAAAUGCAGAUUCUGAUUCAGUAGUCUGGGGUGGAGCCUAAGAUUCUGCAUUUCUAACAAGCUCCCAGGUGAUGCCAA
rnacentral:pre_miRNA from 1 species